rnacentral:rRNA from 1 species
UCGAACGAAGCACUUAAGAACGAUUCUUCGGAUGAAGUCUUUUGUGACUGAGUGGCGGACGGGUGAGUAACGCGUGGGUAACCUGCCUCACACAGGGGGAUAACAGUUGGAAACGACCGCUAAUACCGCAUAAGCCAACAGGGGCGCAUGCUCUGGUUGGAAAAGAUUUAUCGGUGUGAGAUGGACCCGCGUCUGAUUAGCCAGUUGGCAGGGUAACGGCCUACCAAAGCGACGAUCAGUAGCCGGCCUGAGAGGGUGAACGGCCACAUUGGGACUGAGACACGGCCCAAACUCCUACGGGAGGCAGCAGUGGGGAAUAUUGCACAAUGGGGGAAACCCUGAUGCAGCGACGCCGCGUGAGUGAAGAAGUAUUUCGGUAUGUAAAGCUCUAUCAGCAGGGAAGAAAAUGACGGUACCUGACUAAGAAGCCCCGGCUAACUACGUGCCAGCAGCCGCGGUAAUACGUAGGGGGCAAGCGUUAUCCGGAUUUACUGGGUGUAAAGGGAGCGUAGACGGCUAGUCAAGUCAGAAGUGAAAGCCCAGGGCUCAACCUUGGGACUGCUUUUGAAACUGAGUAGCUAGAGUGCAGGAGAGGUAAGCGGAAUUCCUAGUGUAGCGGUGAAAUGCGUAGAUAUUAGGAGGAACACCAGUGGCGAAGGCGGCUUACUGGACUGUAACUGACGUUGAGGCUCGAAAGCGUGGGGAGCAAACAGGAUUAGAUACCCUGGUAGUCCACGCCGUAAAC